rnacentral:rRNA from 1 species
UUCGGGNUUCUAGCGGCGGACGGGUGAGUAACACGUGGGUAACCUGCCUCANAGAGGGGAAUAGCCUCCCGAAAGGGAGAUUAAUACCGCAUAAUAUUAAAAUUUCGCAUGAAGUUUUAAUUAAAGGAGUAAUCCGCUUUGAGAUGGACCCGCGGCGCAUUAGCUAGUUGGAGAGGUAACGGCUCACCAAGGCCACGAUGCGUAGCCGACCUGANAGGGUGAUCGGCCACAUUGGAACUGAGACACGGUCCAGACUCCUACGGGAGGCAGCAGUGGGGAAUAUUGCACAAUGGGCGANAGCCUGNUGCAGCAACGCCGCGUGAGUGAUGACGGUCUUCGGAUUGUAAAGCUCUGUCUUUUGGGACGAUAAUGACGGUACCAAAGGAGGAAGCCACGGCUAACUACGUGCCAGCAGCCGCGGUAAUACGUAGGUGGCAAGCGUUGUCCGGAUUUACUGGGCGUNAAGGAUGUGUAGGCGGAUACUUAAGUGAGAUGUGAAAGCCCCGGGCUCAACCUGGGGACUGCAUUUCAAACUGGGUGUCUAGAGUGCAGGAGAGGAAAGCGGAAUUCCUAGUGUAGCGGUGAAAUGCGUAGAGAUUAGGAAGAACAUCANUGGC